UGAGGGUGGGCGGGCGGGGGAUAUGGUUGUGUUCGAAGGUAGGAAACCAGGAUUUAACAGUGGUGCAGGCUGAGCCAGGCCCCAGGAACUCUGUUCUUCCCCAGUGGAACCGAUCUCUUCAUGGGAGGAGGACCGCAAGUUCGUCCUGCGAGCCUGGUGUCUUGUCUUCAUCAUCCUGGCAACCGCGAUGCUGCUCAGCGUGCUGGACGGGCGUAUGGCCUACCUGCAGGCGCCUACACCGGCUCGUGGGCUUCUGGACCAACUGCAAGAAGCAUACAUGUGCCGACCUGCGCCAAGUCACGGUUCUCAUCCACAUGAGCAUGGGCUUCAUGAUCCUGGCCGUGAUCCUGGCUCUAGUUCUCCUCCUGGCCAUGGGCUUCUCCUUCCGGCCAGCACUCCGCCGUCUUAACAAGACUGACCUCGUCUUCAGUACCCUCAGCUCCUUCACUGUCAUGCAGGAUGGGAGAGGAUGUCUCUGGCUCGCUUCUCUUUCUGGAGGUCUCUGGGUCCCUG
rnacentral:lncRNA from 1 species